GAGCCCAAGCUCCCACUUCUCAAUUCCAUGACCGUCUAAUCUAAAGCCUGCACUGCUUGACAUUCACUUUCAGUUUUGCAUAUUGAUUUGUAACACCAAACGGGGAAAGGCUCCAUUUUCUGGGGACCAGCUUUGUUGGUAACAAAGAUACUGAAUCAUAGAGAGGAAUCAUUUUUGCAAGAUCACAGCUGAUGGAAUUUCCCUCUCCUUGCCCAGGCUGGAGUGCAGUGGCGUGAUCUCGGCUCACCACAACCCCCGCCUCCUGAGUUCAAGUGGUUCUCCUUCCUCAGCCUCCCGAGUAGCUGGGACUACAGGCGCGUGCCACCACGCCUGGCUAAUUUUUUGUAUUUUUGGUAGAGACGGGGUUUCACCAGGUUGGCCAGUCUGGUCUCAAACUCCUGACCUGAGGUGAUCUAUCUGCCUCGGCCUCCCAAAGUGCUGGGAUUAUAGGUGUGAGUCCCCGUGCCCAGCCUUGACCUCCCUAUUUUGAAUUGUACCCCUCCCCGCAGUCUUCCUCCUCUCCCUUUUUCUGCAUUACUGCUCAUUUCCCUCCAGGACAUCAUCUCCUACACCCUGUAAUUUACUUAUUUAUUUUGGCUGUUAGUUAAUAUCUGUCUCCCUCACUGCAAUCUAACACCGUAUUCACUGAAGUCCCCCAACGGAGUGAAGAACGUGCCAUCCCCAAAUAUGCCAAAUUGGCAUAGUGAUUAUUUUGAGCUGUAAAUAUUGGAGAAAUUGUAG
rnacentral:lncRNA from 1 species